UGAGGAACAUGACCUUCGGCGGGGGAUAGCCGGCCCAACGGCCGGGUAAUACCGCGUACGACCACAUGGGGACAUCCCUGAGUGGUGAAAGCAGCAAUGCGCCGAUGGAGUGCCUCGCGGCCUAUCAGCUAGUUGGUGAGGUAACGGCUCACCAAGGCAACGACGGGUANCUGGUCUGAGAGGAUGGCCAGCCACAGUUGGGACUGAGACACGGCCCAGACCUGUACCGGGGAGG
rnacentral:rRNA from 1 species